GAAGGUGGGCUGAAACUUCAAUCACCCAUUUAUUGGGAAUCCAGCUUUCAGUGGAGGUCUUCCCCGAGUCUCUGGACUGUUGUGGGGGCGAGCGGCGAGCUUCAAAGCACUCAGUUUCGAGCCAGAAGGUGGGCUGAAACUUCAAUCACCCAUUUAUUGGGAAUCCAGCUUUCAGUGGAGGUCUUCCCCGAGUCUCUGGACUGUUGUGGGGGCGAGCGGCGAGCUUCAAAGCACUCAGUUUCGAGCCAGGACCAACAAUUGCUAAUCUAGAGAAGUCCUAAGAGUGGCGUCUCCCCCCCUGCCCCGCACUGUGCAGAUUGACAGAUCUUUUCAGUGGAGCACGACUUUCCAGCAGCACGACUACAGACAAGGCCUUCAACCGUUCCUCUACCUGCACCUGACCAUGACACCAAGAGACGGACCUGCUCUCAAUCCCAGGAGACGUGGAUGAAGACAGAGCCGCAGGAUCUGGGGCCGUGGCCGGGAUGUCGCUCGCUUGACGAGCAGCUCUCGUGGCACUCUGACCGAGGGCAGCCGGACGGCCAGCGUUCCGGCGGUGAAGAUGGAGCCGGCCAGCAGUGAUGGAUGGACAGUCGUUAAUGACUGUGUGCAUGCAUUUUUUUUGUGUGUGUAUACAUCCAUCCAUCCAUCCAUUUUCUGAGCCGCUUCUCCUCACUAGGGUCGCGGGCGCGGUGGAGCCUAUCCCAGCUGUCAUCGGGCAGGAGGCGGGGUACACCCUGAACUGGUUGCCAGCCAAUCGCAGACAUCAGUGAAGAUCUUCGUCCUGAGCAGCAGGGCCCAGAGCCCCCUCACAUUAAAGAGGAAGUGGAGGCCGAAGAGGUCCACCGCAUCAAAGAGGAAGAUAAAUUGGAGCCCACUCCCAUUAAAAAAGAGGAUGUGGAAGAGCACCCCCACAUCAAACAUGAAGUGGAGGAGGACAUCACCAAGUUUCCAUCUACUGGUGUCCCGUUGAAGAGUGAAGAUGAAGGUCAAAGUGAGGAGAGCAGAGGGGCGCAGCCUCCAAGCAGCAGGUCAAGUCAACACAUGACAACAGAAGGUGAUGGAGACCACUGUGGAGGAUGACAAGCAGACGGACUCUUAGCUCCACUGUCAGAUUGUGAUGACACAAUGGCACACCCUCCUCACACUGAUGAUGAUGAUGAUGGACACUGUGAAGCUGAUAUGACAUGUCACAUUGAAAACAAACAAUGGAAAUGUUCUCAGUGUAGGAAAACAUUUGGUUAUAAGAGCAAUUUGAAACAACACAUGAAAAUACACACAGGAGAGAAAGAUUUUGCCUGCUCUGUUUGUGGUCAAAGAUUCUCUUGCAAGGGAGAUUUAAAAAGACACACAAGAACCCACACUGGUGAGAAACCUUUUGCCUGCUCAGUGUGUGGUAAAAGAUUCACUCAGAAGCGAUAUUUAAAAAUACACACAAGAACCCACACUGGUGAGAAAUCUUUUGCCUGCCCGGUUUGUGGUCAAAGAUUCUCUGAAAGGGGAAGCUUAAAAAGACACACAAGAACCCACACUGGUGAGAAACCUUUUUCCUGCUCAGUGUGUGGUAAAAGAUUCUCUGUCAAGAGAAACUUGAGAAACCACACAAGAACCCACACUGGUGAGAAACCUUUUGCCUACCCAGGUUGUGGUCAAAGAUUCUCUGAAAGGGAAAGCUUAAAAAGACACACAAGAACCCACACUGGUGAGAAACCUUUUUCCUGCACAGUGUGUGGUAAAAGAUUCUCUGUCAAGAGAAACUUGAGAAACCACACAAUAACCCACACUGGUAAGAAACCUUUUGCCUGCUCAGUUUGCCGUUAACGAUUCUCUCAUAAAUAUCAGGCUAAGACCCACAAGUGUGCUAUGAGAACAGCAGUGAUGAAGAAGCUUUAGAUGAAAAAGGUCAAUGGUUAAUAUCAAAGAAAAUGACUAUCAUACCGAAUUACAAAAAUCUACAAUCUUGGAUUCUGUCUGCCAUAUUUUAUUUUGUCAACCCUUUAGUUUUCUUUGUAUGUUCCAAAAGCCUCCUAUGGACAAAUGUUGAGAAUUCCCACUGGUGCCAAAAUGCUUUUAUCCAAUGUUUUAAAAUGAGCAAAUGAUUUAUCAAACUAGAUUUUGAAGAGAGUUUUAACUUUUGGUGAAUAUGUUGAAAAGUGUA